rnacentral:rRNA from 1 species
UACGGGGGGAGCAAGCGUUGUUCGGAUUUACUGGGCGUAAAGGGCGCGUAGGCGGUCAGCACAAGUCAGUUGUGAAAUCUCCGGGCUUAACUCGGAAAGGUCAACUGAUACUGUGCGACUAGAGUGCAGAAGGGGCAACUGGAAUUCUCGGUGUAGCGGUGAAAUGCGUAGAUAUCGAGAGGAACACCCGUGGCGAAGGCGGCUCUCUGGACCGAUUCUGACGCUGAGGCGCGAAAGCUAGGGGAGCAAACAGG